UUUAACAUGUUAAAAACUAUUUCCUCCCAACUACAAUAAUUGUCUUCCAAGGUUGAAAAUAUGGAAAGGAAGAUGGACAGCUUUUUGAAAGAAAAUAUAAUUCAAAAAAGCGAAGAACUAGCAAAAAAAAAACCGUCCCCGAAUGUAAAGUGCUAAUUCGGAGAGUUCACCAAUCAGUAUGCUGACUGAGUGGCGAAGAAAUCGACAACACUCAAACAGAAAUUGCUUCCACCCUACCAUUAACAACACUAGCUGCAGCUUUGGAAAUGGAAGAAAAACUGAAGUGCGAAGAAUUCGCUACAGCAAUUAAACAGUUUGUUUUAAGGAUGAGAGAUAGUUCCGACAGUAUAUGUGAGGUGUUGCGGCAUCUGUACACUGACGAAUUCCUGAGUUUGUGUAACUGGGACGGUAGGGGAGGCAAGCAACCGCUAUCGAAAUUUCUGU